GUUAAGUGACUAAGCGUACACGGUGGAUGCCUUGGCAGUCAGAGGCGAUGAAGGACGUAGUAACUUGCGAUAAGCGUAGAUGAGGCAGUAACAGCCACUUGAGUCUACGAUUUCCGAAUGGGGAAACCCACUGGCAUAAGCCAGUAUCAUUGAGUGAAUACAUAGCUCAAUGAAGCGAACCGGGAGAACUGAAACAUCUAAGUACCCCGAGGAAAAGAAAUCAACCGAGAUUCCGAAAGUAGCGGCGAGCGAAAUUGGAUUAGCCCUUAAGCUUUACAUGUGUUAGACGAACGGUCUGGAAAGUCCGACGAUAC
rnacentral:rRNA from 1 species